CCAGCCUACGGGAGGCAGCAGUGGGGAAUAUUGGGCAAUGGGCGCAAGCCUGACCCAGCAACGCCGCGUGAAGGAAGAAGGCUUUCGGGUUGUAAACUUCUUUUCUCAGGGACGAAGCAAGUGACGGUACCUGAGGAAUAAGCCACGGCUAACUACGUGCCUGCAGCCGCGGUAAUACGUAGGUGGCAAGCGUUAUCCGGAUUUACUGGGUGUAAAGGGCGUGUAGGCGGGAAAGCAAGUCAGAUGUGAAAACCACGGGCUCAACCUGUGGCCUGCAUUUGAAACUGUUUUUCUUGAGACCUGGG
rnacentral:rRNA from 1 species